GCAGUAGCUGUGCCUGUGUCUCUGGAAGGGGAAGAUCUACUAAAUGGCGGUUUAACCCUUUUAUGCCCGGGGUGCUGUUACAGAGGCCAUCCGUCAUUGUCCCGUGACUCAAACCAAGAAGCAGGUGCUGGCCUGCGGGGUAUUAUAGGAAGUUUGUGCCCCAUUGUAAAGCCCCUGACAGACUUGACAAGGAAAAAGGAAG